GCGGAGCAGCAGAGCAAAGACACAGCAGGCGGCGGGGAGGCACAGAAGACGGAGCAGAGGACUGUGCCACUGGCCAAAGCCAGAACACAGCACCGCAGUGUCUACCGGGAAGAAACACCACCGGGAGGUGGGGAAGUUCCAACAGCAGGAAAAUGAGAGAAGUCAGCACAGAGACGCGGGAGAGUCAUCGCGAGACGAAGGUGAAACCAGAGGCCAAAUGAGACACAGACGGCUCUGUACUGACAAUCACUUCUGUCAUUUAUCAGGACAAGGCGACACCGUGUGGCUCUGCCUGGAGCUUCAGAAACACGGGACAGGCUGGCAGGGAUCUGCUGGUGACUGGAGACACGGGGCUGUCCUCACUUCUUUCUCCAUCAACAGGCAAAGGCCAAGGCCAGAGGAGCUCAGGUGGACUCGCGCCCCGCACUCCAGGAACAUCACCAAAUGCACAUCGGGGACAUUGGGGCAGAUACCCGGCCGGUGGUGUCUUUGGGUGACUCUCCUUCCUGCGAUGGAAAAACAGCAAACAGGAAAGUGAAGAAGGAAAGCCAUCUGCGUGAAGCCACAGCAGCCCCCACGCAGCCCCGAGGGAGGCCAGGACUCAGCCCCCACCCCAAGACAGGAUCACCCCCGCAAGCGAGGGCAGGGCACUGGGCUGUGAGGUUCACUUGUGCCCCCAGAAAUACUGACCCACCUCUGCGGACACGGGAGGCAGGGGAUGGGUAAAAGGAGCGUGGAGAGGCGAGAGGCUCGGCCCCUGGAAUUGGAGUCAGGCACGGCAUGGGGUGUGUGUAAUAACCAUGGAGCCCCCUGGUGGAUGUGGGGUUACAUGCUGAGAUAUGAGCUCAGAGAAAGUCACCCAGAUGGGGGGCCAGGGACGGUGUCCUGGGGCUGGAAGGUGAUAACUAGUUGGGGGCCCUCCAUGGGCCGUUGGCGAUGCUGUGAGGGGUGAGGGGAUGGUUGACCCAUGGUCUAGGAUGGGGCUGAAAGAGCGUCACCCCACCACCCAUGGAACCCCUGCAGUGUCCAGCGCCUCUACUCCUCCCUGCUGCCAUAUCUGGGGCCCCUGAGUCCCUCCGCCGCCCCUCACAGCCCCUCCCUCCCAUACGGGGGCCCUCCAGAAGGAUACCGUGGGUGAGGUGAUGAUCCAGGUUCUGGAGAGCUCCCUGCUUCCCGGAACUGCUAGUGCGUAUCCAGGCACGCGGUCCCUGGCUACAGGCCCGCCUGUCACACCUGCUGCCUGGAGCCAUUGCAGGAUUCCACAGCAAGGAACAGGACAUGCUCGGCACGGGACAGAACAAAGAUGCCUGGCUCUUGGUGUCCCCACCAGAGCUCUGCCCAGUGGGCAGCACAGGGAGCAGCCCAUCGGGCACGGGACACGGGCUACGGCUCUUCAAGAUGGAACAAUGGAAAACCUCUUCCCCUUGGUGCUUCUGAAGAGCUGAGACUGGAUGCUAAUCCAACCACGGGGUAACUGGAGACAACAGGCCAGCUCCAGUGCAGGAAGGACCUUCUGGACAGGGCUCUGUGCCUGUUGACAGUGAGGCACCAGUGGUUCAUUGCAGGGCUGCAGGGAGCCCCUGACAUUAUGAGCAAGAGAUGCAUUUUACAACUGAGUGCAUUUUUCAGGAGCAUCUCUGCCCAUCGCGACUGGGUCCUCCUAGUUCUGGAGGUCAGAAGUCUGAGGUCAGUUUCCCUGGUCUAAAAUCAAGGCAUCAGCAGGACACGCUCCCCCCGGAGGCUCCAGGGGACAGUCGUUCCUGCCUCUCCCAGCUCCUGGUGGCUUCAGGCAUCCUUGGCUUGUGGCUGCAGGACUCCAGUCUUCAAGGCCAGCAUCUUCAAACACCCUCUGCUCCAUCCUCACGUCACCCCUCCUCGGUGCGUGUCAAGUCUCCCUCCGCCCCAAAGAGUGGAGACGGUAGAAAGAUCAGGGGUUUCCAGGGCUCAGGGGAGGGAGCACAGAGGAUUUUUAGAGCAGUGAAGUUAUUCUGCGUGAUCCUAUAAUGGUGGAUACGUAUCAUUAUACAUUUGUCCAAACUCACAGAAUGUACGACACCAAGAGUGAACCCUAAUGCAACCUAUGGACCUUGGAUGGUGAUGACGUGUCAGUGUAGGUUCAUCUAUUAUAACAAAUGAGCCACUGGUGAGGGGUGUUGCUAAUGGGGGAGGCAGGGGAACUCUGUACUUUUCACUCCAUGUUACUGUGAACCUAAAGCUGCUCUGAAAAAUAAAGUCGUGCAGUAUUUUAACUUUCCCUCUGCCUCUUUCUUAGAAGGUCACUUGUGAUUGCAUUUGAGGCCCACCCAGAUAAUCCAGGACAGUCUCCCAUCUCCACGUCCUUAAUUUAACCACAUCUGCAAAGACAUGUUGUCCAUAUUAGGUCACACUCACAGGCUCCAGGGGUUAGGACCUGACAUCUCUGGGAGCCAUUUUUCAGCCCACUACAGUCAUUGAUGGAACAAUUAGACAAAAAGUCAGUAAGGAGGUAGACUUGAAUAGAAAUGCCCCAAAGGAUCUUCACAGAAUGCCACACUCCACACGUCCCUCCAGGGUGUCCCUCCAGGGUAUCCCUCCAGAGCAUCUGGCCACAUACACAGCACCUUUACCAUAAAAGGACCCUCAGUACAUUUCAGAGGAUUUAAAUCAUAUAACAGGAAUUCCUUUUCUUUUUUUAUUGCUAAAGCUUUUCCAUUGAAUAAUUAUACUUCAAUUUAAGAAAAAAAUUCAUUACAUAUAUCUGACAAAGAGCUCACGUGCAGGACACAGGAAGAACUCCUCCCACACAUCAACAGCAAAAGCAAACAACCCAGGAUACAACGGGCAGCAGGUGGGGAUGGACACUUCACAGAAGCAGACACAUGAACGGCCAAGAGGCACAUGGAAAGGUGCUCGCGUCCUCAGUCAACAGAGAGGUUAAUCCAGCCAGGGUGUCCUGCCGUCCCACGCCCACGAGAACAGCCAAAAUCAAGGGCUGACUCACCCAGCGCCAGCAAGGAUGUGACAGGAGAAUUCCCAGGUGCUGUCGGUGGGAAUGCGAAUUGGUACAGCCACUUUGGAAAAAGUUUGGGCAGUUUUUAGUAACACUGGAAGCACAUCUGUUUGUGACCCAGCAAUUCUACUCCUAAGUAUUUAAUUAAAUAUUUAGGUUUUUAUUUAGUCUUUAGCACUGGAUAUUUGUUUAGUAUCUAGUACUAAAUAUUUAGUAUUUGGCCCCUAAAUAAAUGGAAUUAUAAGUCAUUAAAGGACUCCUACAGGUAAUAGCCAAAAAGCAGAAGGAGCUCGAAUGUCCACUGACAGCAGAAUGGAGGAGUGACUGUAGGACAGUGACGUGAGGGGACACUAUCGAGCAGUGAGGACAAGGCAACGGCCACGCUACGUCACAGACGUGAUAACGUGAUGAAUCCACACGAGCGUCCAGAUUGGAGUGGAGGAAGCACAGUAUCCCUGUUUGCGGAUGGCGGGAUGUUAUACGUGGAAAAUGCUAAAGAUUCCGCAAAAAACUGUCAGGAAUGAUCCAUUCAGCAAAAUCGUGGGAUACCAAAUCAACACACGGAAAAUCACACUAAUAAUGAGCAAUUUGAAAGGAAAUUGUGAUAUAAUUCCAUUUACCAUAGCACCAAAGAGAAUAAAAUACUUAGGAAUAAACUUAACCAAGGAGGUGAAAGACCUGUACGCUGAAAACUACAAAGCAGUGCUGAGAGAAGUCAAAGAGAACCUAAAGGAACAGAAAGACACCCCAUGCUCGCGGGCUGGGAGACUGAGUAUUGUUAAAAUGUCAGUGCCACCCAGAGCAGUCUCCAAAUUCACUGCAAUCCCUCUCAAAAUCCAAAAGGUGGUUUUGUUGCAGAAAUAGAAAAGCCCAUCCAAAAAUUCAUAUGGAAUCUCAAGGGAUCCCAAAAAGCCAAGACUCUCUUGAAAAAGGAGAACGAAGCCGGAGGACUCACGAUCCCUGACUUCAGGACCUACCACAAGCUCCAGGAUUCACAACAGUGUGGCACUGGCAUAAAGACAGACAUGGACACCACGAGAUGGAAUAGAGAGCCCAGAAAUACACCCUCCCAUACAGCAAGUGAUUCUUGACAAGGGUGCCAAGACCAUUCAAUGGGGAAAGGACAGUCUUUUCGACAAAUAACUAGUGCUGGGAAAUCUGGAUCUCCACCUGCAAAAGAACAAAGGUGGACCCUUACCAGACACUAUAUACAAAAAUUCACUCAAGAUGGAUGAAAGAUCUAAACUUGAGAGCUAAAACCAUAAAACUCUCAGAAGAAAAUGGAGAGAGAAAUCUUCACGACAUUGGAUCUGGCAAUGAUUUCUUGGAGAUGACACCAAAAGCACAGGCAGUGAAAGAAAAAAUAGAUAAAUUGGACGAUGCUAAAAUUUAAAACUCCUGUUCAUCAAAGGGCACUAUCAAGAGAGUGAAAAGGCAACCUAUGGAAUGGGAGAAAAUAUUUGUAAAUGCUAUAUCUGAUAAGGGAUUAAUAUUCAGAAUAUAAAGAACCUUUAUAACUCAAUAACAAAAAACAAAAAAUCCGACUCAAAACUGGGCAAAGGACUGGAACAGACAUUUCUCCACAGAUGUACAAAUGGCCAAUAAGCCCAUGAAAAGAUGCUCAGCAUCACUGAUCAUUAGGGAAACGCAGAUUAAAACUACAAGAUAUGACCUCACACCCAUUAGGAUGGCUAUUCUAUAAAAAAACAACACACACGCACACACACGCACACGUACACGCACACAUGCACACCCCAGAAAACAAGUGGUGGUGAGAAUGUGGAGAAGCUGGAACCCUGGCUCAUUCAUUGCUGUAGGAAAGUAAAAUGGCGCAGCCACUGAGGAAAACAGGAUGGCAGUUUCUCAAUAAAUUAAACCUGGAAUUAUUAGCAAUUCCACUUCUGGGUACACACCCAAAAGGAUUGAAAGCAGGGACCAAAACAGAUAAUUGUACACCCAUGUUCAGAGCAGCAUUAUUUACAACAGCCAAAAGGUGGAAACAACCCAAAUGUCCAUGGACAGAUGAUGGAUAAACAAAACGUGGCGUGAAACAUUAUUCAGCCAUAACAAGGAAGGAAAUUGUGACACGUGCUACAACAUGGAUGAGCUUUAAAAACAUGAUGCUCAGUGAAAUGAGCCCGACACAAAAGUACAGACUCUGUAGGACUCCACCGGGAUGAGGGCCGAGAGGAGUCCACUCC
rnacentral:lncRNA from 1 species